UCCAUGGAAAACAAAUAAAAGGUUUAAUAAAUUUAAGAAGGAAAGAAGGAAAGGUAAAAGGAUAUUAGAAUUAGAAAGAUUUGACAAAUAUUUUACUUUCUCGCAUCUUGAUGUACUUUAUAAAACAAAAGUGAAGAUUAAUUAACGGGAACAUCAAAGGAACACAGGUUUACCUCAAAUUUGGACAAUGUAGAUAUAGAAAAGACCCAAGUAACGAUAUCAUCCCACUCAUGGGGGUCUAUAUUAAGAAAAGAGAGCAUGAACAGGGGUUUUUAGUGGGUCGUCAUACAACAUCUCGUAACAACCCUACGCAAAGAUACGGGUCAAUGGAUAUGCUUUAGUGCUUUUUUCCCCUUCUUACGAAAAAAAUAAUAAUGAUAAAAAAAUAAAAAAUA